AUACGGAGGAUGCGAGCGUUAUCCGGAUUUAUUGGGUUUAAAGGGGGCGUAGGCGGGAGCUUAAGUCAGCGGUUAAAUGGUGCGGCUCAACCGUGCCCUGCCGUUGAAACUGGGUUUCUUGAGAGUGCAAGAGGCGGAUGGAAUUCAUGGUGUAGCGGUGAAAUGCUUAGAUAUCAUGAAGAACUCCGAUUGCGAAGGCAGGCCGGUGGGGCACGUCUGACGCUGAUGCUCGAAGGUGCGGGAAUCAAACAGGAUUAGAUGCCCUGGUAGUCCGCACGGUAAACGAUGAUUACCCGCUGUCGGCGGUAGACAGUCGGCGGCCAAGCGAAAGCGAUAAGUAAUCCACCUGGGGAGUACGCCGGCAACGGUGAAACUCAAAGGAAUUGACGGGG
rnacentral:rRNA from 1 species